CGGGUUGUUGCUGGCCCCCAAACCGGGCACGUGCACGCCCUGUUUACGCAUCCACUCACACCUGUGCACCCUCUGUAGUUCUGUGGACCGGGAGACGUCGUCUUCCUUCCGUGGCUCUACGUCUUUACACACACGCCGUAGCGAAGUCUCAUGGAAUGUUUUUCGCGUUUAACGCAAUACAAUACAACUUUCAGCAACGGAUCUCUUGGCUCUCGCAUCGAUGAAGAACGCAGCGAAAUGCGAUAAGUAAUGUGAAUUGCAGAAUUCAGUGAAUCAUCGAAUCUUUGAACGCACCUUGCGCCCCUUGGUUAUUCCUCGGGGCAUGCCUGUUUGAGUAUCAUGAACACCUCAACUCUCGUGGUCUUCCAUGAUGAGCUUGGACUUUGGGGGUUUGCUGGCCCUGUGGCCGGCUCCUCUCAAACGAAUCAGCUUGCCAGUGUUUGGCGGCGUCACGGGUGUGAUAACCAUCUACGCUUGCGAUCGCCUGCCAGAUAACCCUCAGCGAUGAAGGUUCAUUGGGGCUCACAAAAGUCUCUCCACGGCGAGGACGAAUUUUGAAUGUUCGAUCUCAAAUCAGGUAGGACUACCCGCUGAACUUAAGCAUAUCAAUAAGCGGAGGAAAAGAAACUAACAAGGAUUCCCCUAGUAACUGCGAGUGAAGCGGGAAGAGCUCAAAUUUAAAAUCUGGCGUGCCUCCGGUCGUCCGAAUUGUAGUCUGGAGAAGCGUUUUCCGUGCUGGACCGUGU
rnacentral:rRNA from 1 species